rnacentral:rRNA from 1 species
GACAGAGGGUGCAAACGUUGUUCGGAAUCACUGGGCAUAAAGCGCACGUAGGCGGUCCGUUAAGUCAGGUGUGAAAGCCCCCGGCUCAACCGGGGAAUGGCAUUUGAUACUGGCGGGCUCGAGGAUGGCAGGGGUGAGCGGAACUCCAGGUGGAGCGGUGAAAUGCGUAGAUAUCUGGAGGAACACCGGUGGCGAAAGCGGCUCACUGGACCAUAACUGACGCUGAGGUGCGAAAGCUAGGGUAGCAAACGGG